AACGAACGCUGGCGGCAUGCCUAACACAUGCAAGUCGAACGAGACCUUCGUGUCUAGUUGCGCACGGGUGCGUAACGCGUGGUAACCUGCCCUUAGGUUCGGUAUAACUCCCCGAAAGGGGUGCUAAUACCGGUUAAUGUCUUCGGACCAAGGAUUUUUCGCCUUUGGGUGGGCCCGCGUUGGAUUCGCGGGUUGGUAGGGUAAAAGCCUACCAAGGCGACGAUCCAUAGCUGGUAUGAGAGGAUGAUCAGCCACACUGGGACUGAGACACGGCCCAGACUCCUACGGGACGCAGCAGUGGGGAAUAUUAGACAAUGGGCGAAAGCCUGAUACAGCAAUGCCGCGUGAGUGAUGAAGGCCUUAGGGUUGUAAAGCUCUUUUACCCGGGAUGAUAAUGACAGUACCGGGAGAAUAAGCACCGGCUAACUACGUG
rnacentral:rRNA from 1 species